UGUAGGGUCGCGGGCGACGGUGCCUUCCCCCAGGGAGGGAGAAUAGGGAACGCGGUUUAAAUCCGCGGCUGUGCCCGCAACUGUAAGCGGCGAGCGAUCCUCCGAAUUGGUCACUGGGCCGCCUGCCGGCCCGGGAAGACCGGAGAUCGCGACGACCCGCGAAGCCAGGAGACCUGCCGUCGGCGUCGUCCUUUU
rnacentral:ncRNA from 2 species